GGGAGAUUAGCUCAGCGGUAGAGCACCUCGUUUACACCGAGAUUGUCACAAGUUCGAUCCUUGUAUCUCCCA
rnacentral:tRNA from 1 species